rnacentral:rRNA from 1 species
GAAGAUGACAGCCUGGGGCGUACGGCCGCAAGGUUGAAAUUCAAAGGAAUUGUCGUGGGACCCGCACAAACGGUGGAGGAUGUGGUUUAAUUAGAUGCAACGUGAAAAACCUUCCUAAUCUUUGACAUGUACGGAAGCCUUUAGAGAUACAGGCGUGCUUGAAAGAGAGCAGUAACACAGGUGGUGCAAGGCUGUUAUCAGCUUCUUUCGUGAGAUGUUGGGUUAAGUUCCGCCACGAGCGCCACCCUUGUCAUUAGUUGAUACAUUCAGUUCGGCACUCUAAUGAGACUGCCGGCGACAAACCGGAGGAAGGUGGGGAUGACGUCAAGUCCUCAUGGCCCUGAUAGGUGGGGCUCCCCACGUCAUACAAUGGAUGGUACAAAGGGUUGCCAACCCGCGAGGGGGAGCUAAUUCCAUAAAACCAGUCGUAGUCCGGAUGGCAGUCUGCAACUCGACUGCGUGAAGUCGGAAUCGCUAGUAAUCGUGGAUCAGAAUGUCUCGGUGAAUACGUUCCCGGGUGUUGUACACACCGCCUGUCACUAACAGGGGAGCGGGUCUCCCCAGAAGUAGU